rnacentral:rRNA from 1 species
CCUACGGGAGGCAGCAAUGAGGAAUAUUGGUCAAUGGACGAGAGUCUGAACCAGCCAAGUAGCGUGAAGGAUGACUGCCCUAUGGGUUGUAAACUUCUUUUAUAUGGGAAUAAAAUGUUCCACGUGUGGGAUUUUGUAUGUACCAUAUGAAUAAGGAUCGGCUAACUCCGUGCCAGCAGCCGCGGUAAUACGGAGGAUCCGAGCGUUAUCCGGAUUUAUUGGGUUUAAAGGGAGCGUAGGUGGAUUGUUAAGUCAGUUGUGAAAGUUUGCGGCUCAACCGUAAAAUUGCAGUUGAAACUGGCAGUCUUGAGUACAGUAGAGGUGGGCGGAAUUCGUGGUGUAGCGGUGAAAUGCUUAGAUAUCACGAAGAACUCCGAUUGCGAAGGCAGUUCACUGGACUGCAACUGACACUGAGGCUCGAAAGUGUGGGUAUCAAACAGGAUUAGAUACCCGAGUAGUC